UGACUUUGAAAUGUUUUAAAGUAUUUUAUAUAGAAUAGAGAGCAGGAAUCAUGUAUACUUCACUGGAAUGAAGUAGGGAGUACUAAUGACCAAAGGGACAAUCACCUACCAAGGUCUUCCUGUAGCUAAUGAUCAUUGUAAGGAAAAUCUAUUAAAAAAACAGGUUCCCAUUUUUCCCAGGGAUGCUUGUGUUUAUCCUGCGUUAUCCUGUUGGCGCUUUAGACUGAAAUUAACCUCCUGUAACCAGCCAGGUUUGCAAAACCUUGUAACAUGCUGACUACCGGUAGUUAGUAGCUAGGUAACAGUUUGCGAGGAACUGCUUUACCUACCUACUACCUAAAUUCAGUGAACGUCUUCCGGCGUAAUUGCUUUCUCCGGCGAAGGCAAAUGUACGGUGACAGUGUUUCUGCAGGACUCUGCCCUAGCCUGCUUAGGCUAGCUUUUAUGCACGAGGUAUGGUGAGCCAUGUUGGGUAUAAUUCAGAUAAUGACGUCAAUCUGUCAGCAGCAGACCAUGCUGUAGCAGGAGCAGUUAGUGGAAUGAUUACAAGGGGACUUGUCCAGCCUUUGGAUGUUUUGAAGAUACGAUUUCAGCUCCAAGUUGAACCAACAUCAAAAAGAGGAGGAGGAUUGUAUCAUGGAGUCUUUCAGAGCAUGCUUAAAAUCAUUAGAACAGAAGGUGUAAGAGGACUAUGGAAAGGUCAUGUUCCGGCACAGAUUUUAAGCAUAACCUAUGGUGUAGGGCAGUUUUGGAGUUAUGCUGUUUUAACAAAAGCAGUAAAUGAUGUGACACAUGGAAAAACACAGUUACCUGCAGUUUGUGGGGGUUUAGCUGGAAUAUGUGGCACACUAGUGUCAAUGCCGUGUGAUGUAGCUCGAACAAGAUUAGUUGCUCAGGGUACACCAAAGCUUUAUAGUGGUGUGUUGGAUGCAUGGCUCAAGAUUGUACGUCAUGAAGGCCCACUCAGUCUGUGGAAAGGACUCUUACCUACUUUAGCCAUGAGUGCACCACAGACUGCACUCAUCUUCUAUUUUUAUAGUGGACUGUUUGGGUUGAUAAGUGAAUUCAUUGGAAAUGUUGAUGAUGAUGUGGCUCCAUGGUUAAGUGCCAGUGUUUUAAGUGGAUCAGCAGCUGGUGCUUUUGCUAAAAUUUGUGUCUAUCCACUGGAUGUCCUGAAGAAGAGGAUGCAAAUAAUGGGUUUUGAGGAGGCCAGAAAGCAGUUUGGAAAGGUUGUGGUGUAUGAAAAUGCCUGGAAAUGUAUAAUAAGUAUCACAAGAGAAGAGGGACUGAAAGCUUGGUUCAAAGGGCUUUGGCCUAGUUUGCUUAAAGGUGCAGCAUCUUCAGGGGUGAUAUUUGUCUCGUAUGAGGCUGUUUGUAGUGGGUUUGCUCACUUAUAUAAAGUUCCAAUUAGUGGUAUGGUCAUCUGAUGCACAGACUGCACAUAUAGCCUUAUUACGGCAUCUUUUGUGUGUGUCCAUACCUUGAGCACUGUGUACAUUGUAGUGGUUUUGGAACAAAAGGACGUACUUCUCUAUUUUGUCCAAGGAUUUUUAUUUUAAAUGGUGCAGCAAGUGACAGUGACCACUGAUGGAACUGAACUUUGUAAGUACUCCCCUUUCAUUGUAGACAGUACUUCAAAAUGAAUAUUAAAAAAUUGGCUUUCAUAAUGGUAAUUUCAUUAAUGUAAAUAUAUUUAUUUACUCUAAUAAACUACAAUACUGUAUCAGUUAAACAAGGUUAUAUUUUGAAUAAUUUUGCGGAAAAUCUUGCAUGUUUAAAUGAAACAAGAUAUUCAUUAGUUCUUUAUAUUUUGCUGGAAAUUACAUGCUUUUACUAAGUAAAAAUAUAUUAAAACUUGAACAGUUCGGUGCAACUUGUUUAUAGGAGGACUGCAAAUAUUAAAUAAUAUAUAACCACCAGGUGAUGCUUUAGCAAGUCCAUCAAUACGAAGACUGGGUCUGCUUAGAAAGUUUUUCUCUUAUGAUCUCAUUUGAAGGCUUAUGUUACAUAAUUGAUACAAAAAAUUAUUAAAGAUUGAAAGGACAAAGUAGUCUCCCUCAUUUGUUUAAUGAAUGGUUUCCAAAGGUUGCAGUUCAAGUAUAGAAAAUUACAGUUGGUCAUGAAAUUGUUAUAAAUGUCAUUUUUAAUUGCUGUAAUUUAUUGUUUAAAAUUGAAAAAAGUGUUAUGUACAUAUUUAAUAUGUUUAUAUAAUAAAUGUUAAGAUAUUAUUAA